rnacentral:rRNA from 1 species
CCUACGGGAGGCUGCAGUGAGGAAUAUUGGUCAAUGGACGAGAGUCUGAACCAGCCAAGUAGCGUGAAGGAUGACUGCCCUAUGGGUUGUAAACUUCUUUUAUAUGGGAAUAAAAUGUUCCACGUGUGGGAUUUUGUAUGUACCAUAUGAAUAAGGAUCGGCUAACUCCGUGCCAGCAGCCGCGGUAAUACGGAGGAUCCGAGCGUUAUCCGGAUUUAUUGGGUUUAAAGGGAGCGUAGGUGGAUUGUUAAGUCAGUUGUGAAAGUUUGCGGCUCAACCGUAAAAUCGCAGUUGAAACUGGCAGUCUUGAGUACAGUAGAGGUGGGCGGAAUUCGUGGUGUAGCGGUGAAAUGCUUAGAUAUCACGAAGAACUCCGAUUGCGAAGGCAGUUCACUGGACUGCAACUGACACUGAGGCUCGAAAGUGUGGGUAUCAAACAGGAUUAGAUACCCGAGUAGUC